UCUGUGCAUGCCGAGUGAAUCAUAAGGAACGGCCAUGUUUUAACCAUUUCAGUGUUAGUUGUGUUUUUAAACUCAUAGCCACUAGUGACAUAAAAAAAAAAUAGCUUCAUCAUUAAACAUGCUGCAGGGUUUACAGUGCCUGAAAAAAGUCGCGGCUUGUCAUCUGGAAAAUACGCACUUCACAUCUCGCUGAUCAUAGUUGUGCUGUGUUCCCCCAAUGUUGCAGGAUGCAGCUUCUGCACAAGAGGUUGACAUUGAACCAGCAGAUGCUGAAUCUCCAUCUUUGUUACAUUCAAAAAGUUGCCAGACUGAUGAAGUGCCUCUUCAUGAGAAAGGAACACGUAUCUUUCUGAAAGCAGAUAGAAUACUGCAACAUGUAUUUCAACCUCAGGUGGCCUCAAGACGCUCAUAUUGACAGACCAAAUAAGCAUUCAGUGAAAAUCUUAUGAGCAAAACAUAUUUAUACACAGUGUAAACAUACAGUUCA